AGCGGCGGACGGGUGAGUAACGCGUGGGUAACCUGCCCUGUGCACACGGAUAACAUACCGAAAGGUAUGCUAAUACGAGAUAAUAUGCUUUUAUCGCAUGGUAGAAGUAUCAAAGCUUUUGCGGUACAGGAUGGACCCGCGUCUGAUUAGCUAGUUGGUAAGGUAACGGCUUACCAAGGCGACGAUCAGUAGCCGACCUGAGAGGGUGAUCGGCCACAUUGGAACUGAGACACGGUCCAAACUCCUACGGGAGGCAGCAGUGGGGAAUAUUGCACAAUGGGCGAAAGCCUGAUGCAGCAACGCCGCGUGAGCGAUGAAGGCCUUCGGGUCGUAAAGCUCUGUCCUCAAGGAAGAUAAUGACGGUACUUGAGGAGGAAGCCCCGGCUAACUACGUGCCAGCAGCCGCGGUAAUACGUAGGGGGCUAGCGUUAUCCGGAAUUACUGGGCGUAAAGGGUGCGUAGGUGGUUUCUUAAGUCAGAGGUGAAAGGCUACGGCUCAACCGUAGUAAGCCUUUGAAACUGGGAAACUUGAGUGCAGGAGAGGAGAGUGGAAUUCCUAGUGUAGCGGUGAAAUGCGUAGAUAUUAGGAGGAACACCAGUUGCGAAGGCGGCUCUCUGGACUGUAACUGACACUGAGGCACGAAAGCGUGGGGAGCAAACAGGAUUAGAUACCCUGGUAGUCCACGCCGUAAACGAUGAGUACUAGCUGU
rnacentral:rRNA from 1 species